UACGUAGGGGGCCAGCGUUGCUCGGAAUUACUGGGCGUAAAGGGUUCGUAGGUGGUGCGGCAAGUUGGGAGUGAAAUCUCUGGGCUUAACUCAGAGGCUGCUUUCAAAACUGCCGUGCUCGAGUGCGAGAGAGGCCAGUGGAAUUGCAGGUGUAGCGGUGAAAUGCGUAGAUAUCAGGAGGAACAUCGAUGGCGAAGGCAGCCCCUUGGACCUGUACUGACGCUCAUGCACGAAAGCGUGGGGAGCAAACAGG
rnacentral:rRNA from 1 species